GCCAUGACCGUAUAGUGGUUAGCACUCUUNGUUGUGGCUGCAGCAACCUCGGUUCGAAUCCGAGUCAUGGCA
rfam:Neotoma lepida isolate 417 scaffold_84, whole genome shotgun sequence.